rnacentral:rRNA from 1 species
AGUGAACGCUGGCGGCGUGCCUAACACAUGCAAGUCGAGCGAGAUUCUGCAGAGUAUCGUAGAGUUUAGCGGCAGACGGGUGAGUAGCACGUAGGAAACCUCCCUCAGAAUGGGGAAUAUCUCCGAGAAAUCGGAGUUAAUACCGCAUAAGACCACAGUUUGGCAUCAAACAGGGGUCAAAGCAGUAAUGCGUUUUGAGAUGGUCCUGCGGCCUAUCAGCUAGUUGGUGGGGUAACGGCCUACCAAGGCUAUGACGGGUAUCCGGUCUGAAAGGAUGAACGGACACACUGGAACUGAGAUACGGUCCAGACUCCUACGGGAGGCAGCAGUGGGGAAUUUUAGACAAUGGGGGCAACCCUGAUCCAGCGACGCCGCGUGGAGGACGAAGGCCUUCGGGUUGUAAACUCCUUUUGGAGGGGAAGAAAAAAAUGACGGUACCCUCAGAAAAAGCCACGGCUAACUACGUGCCAGCAGCCGCGGUAAUACGUAGGUGGCGAGCGUUACUCGGAAUUACUAGGCGUAAAGCGUAUGUAGGCGGUUAGAUAAGUCUUUAGUGAAAUUUCUCGGCUCAACCGGGAAAGGUCUAAGGAUACUGUUUGACUUGAGUGUGGGAGGGGGAGACGGAAUUCCUGGUGUAGCGGUGAAAUGCGUAGAUAUCAGGAGGAACACCGAUGGCGAAAGCAGUCUCCUGGACCAAUACUGACGCUAAUGUACGAAAGCUAGGGUAGCAAACAGGAUUAGAUACCCUGGUAGUCCUAGCUGUAAACGAUGUUCACUAGAUGUGGGAGGUAUCGACCCCUUCCGCGUCGACGCUAACGCAUUAAGUGAACCGCCUGGGGAGUACGGCCGCAAGGUUGAAACUCAAAGGAAUUGACGGGGGCCCGCACAAGCGGUGGAGUAUGUGGUUUAAUUCGACGCAACACGAAAAACCUUACCUGGGCUUGAACUGCUAAUGGUAAAAACCGGAAACGGCAAUGACUCGCAAGGGAGUUA